rnacentral:rRNA from 1 species
CUGCGUGCUUAACACAUGCAAGUCGAACGCUGAAGCCUGGUGCUUGCACCGGGUGGAUGAGUGGCGAACGGGUGAGUAACACGUGAGUAACCUGCCCCUGACUUCGGGAUAAGCCCGGGAAACUGGGUCUAAUACCGGAUACGACUGCCGGACGCAUGUCUGGUGGUGGAAAGUUUUUUCGGUUGGGGAUGGGCUCGCGGCCUAUCAGUUUGUUGGUGAGGUAAUGGCUCACCAAGACGACGACGGGUAGCCGGCCUGAGAGGGCGACCGGCCACACUGGGACUGAGACACGGCCCAGACUCCUACGGGAGGCAGCAGUGGGGAAUAUUGCACAAUGGGGGAAACCCUGAUGCAGCGACGCAGCGUGCGGGAUGACGGCCUUCGGGUUGUAAACCGCUUUCAGCAGGGAAGAAGCGCAAGUGACGGUACCUGCAGAAGAAGUACCGGCUAACUACGUGCCAGCAGCCGCGGUAAUACGUAGGGUACGAGCGUUGUCCGGAAUUAUUGGGCGUAAAGAGCUCGUAGGUGGUUGGUCACGUCUGCUGUGGAAACGCAACGCUUAACGUUGCGCGUGCAGUGGGUACGGGCUGACUAGAGUGCAGUAGGGGAGUCUGGAAUUCCUGGUGUAGCGGUGAAAAUGCGCAGAUAUCAGGAGGAACACCGGUGGCGAAGGCGGGACUCUGGGCUGUAACUGACACUGAGGAGCGAAAGCAUGGGGAGCGAACAGGAUUAGAUACCCU